AAGUUUUAAAAUUAGGGUUUUAGCGUUCUAUAUCCAACUCCGCCUUGAGGUCCUAGAGAGAAGUCGCAGCCUCGAGAUCAAACAGGAAGCAAAAUGCCGAAGCAAAUCCACGAGAUUAAGGAUUUCCUUCUGACUGCAAGAAGGAAGGAUGCACGCUCUGUCAAAAUCAAGAGGAGCAAAGAUGCUGUCAAGUUUAAGGUUCGAUGCUCCAAGUACCUUUACACUCUUUGCGUGUUUGAUUCGGAGAAGGCCGACAAGUUGAAGCAAUCCCUUCCUCCAGGUUUGAGCGUGCAAAU